rnacentral:lncRNA from 1 species
ACUUGGUGAAGGGAAUCUAUGAGACAAGGUUCUCGAACUGGGUUCUGACCGAAUAGAGCGCGAAGCCAACGAGUUCAGUUGAACAAGGUAAAGAGUCUAAGGGCAGGAUCAAGCUUGAAAGGAAUGGACGGGCGUAGGCUUAAUAGUGAAUGCAGGCCCCCUGCAACUAGAUAUGAGAAAAGCCAGGCGAGGGGCUUUCAAAAGAGUAGUCUCUUUCAUGGGCUAAGCGAAGUUGUCAUCGUAGUCGUAGUAGUUGUUCGGAAGCUGGGUCUUGGUUCUCUGUAUUGUCU